GGACAAGCAGGAAGCAGAAGGUAGAAAGCUUCACCAUGUUAAAGAGUGUAUUUUCAGGUUCUUUAUGUGCUCUUAGUAAGGCUUGAGUUUGGGAAAUUACGAAGGCUAUUUAUAAGGCUUUUACUUCCAUCUGCAUUAUUGAUAAGCAUGCAAAGGUUAAAGGUUAGUGGAAUUAUGAAUCAGUAAUUUUAUAAUAUUAUUGCCAAGAA
rnacentral:misc_RNA from 1 species